rnacentral:rRNA from 1 species
CCAGACUCCUACGGGAGGCAGCAGUGGGGAAUAUUGGGCAAUGGGCGAAAGCCUGACCCAGCAACGCCGCGUGAAGGAAGAAGGCUUUCGGGUUGUAAACUUCUUUUGACAGGGAAGAGCAGAAGACGGUACCUGUCGAAUAAGCCACGGCUAACUACGUGCCAGCAGCCGCGGUAAUACGUAGGUGGCAAGCGUUGUCCGGAAUGAUUGGGCGUAAAGGGUGCGCAGGCGGUCCUGCAAGCCUGGAGUGAAACGCAUGAGCUCAACUCAUGCAUGGCUUUGGAAACUGGAGGACUGGAGAGCAGGAGAGGGCGGUGGAACUCCACGUGUAGCGGUAAAAUGCGUAGAUAUAUGGAAGAACACCGGUGGCGAAGGCGGCCGCCUGGCCUGUUGCUGACGCUGAGGCACGAAAGCGUGGGGAGCAAAUAGGAUUAGAUACCCCAGUAGA